GCUCUUCUUGAUAACAAAACGCCAAAGGGCAAAUUCUCAAUCAGUGAAACAGUCAAACGAUCCAGCUUUCCAUCACAUGUAAUGCCUUGUUAGGCCAAACCCUAGUUUCACCUCUUAAAACUAUUCUGUAUCUGGCUGCAGGUGCUGUGUUCCCUGCGCUCCCAUGUGCAGGACUAUCUGGCUGCAGUCAGUAAUAUCGCGUGCUGGAGUUACUGGAGCUGUACGGAAAACUUGGGGUUGAUACAUCAUGUAUGAACCUUUGACAGCAUGACGUUGCGCAGUGCCAUUCCUCCGCAGCGAGGCGACGCGCAGUGCUGACUUACCCGAGCCAUCUGCGGUGGAGCCAGCUCGCAACCGUAAGUGUCCCCGUUGCGUUUUUCCAUGCUGCUGUGGUGCGCCUUCCUGAGCUAGCAUCUCUGCCGAGCAUUUUUGCUGUUCAUA
rnacentral:lncRNA from 1 species